CCCCCGCCCGGAUGACACGGCUCGCUCUCUCCCAGCGCGGCCCGGCUGCCGCCGCUGCCAGUCCGCCCGCUGGGUUGUCAGAACAAGCGGCACCUCGCCUCCUGCGUGUCCCUGCAGAGCCCCGACAUAAUUAGACAGCCCCGAGCCGGCUCGGAAACCCGAAAUCCCUGCUCCGGCGCUCGCCCACCGCAAAGUUGUUGAAACAGCCCUCACUCUGUUCUCCUCUCUCUCUUUUUGGCCUCGCUUACACACAUUCACACGCGCCCCCACAGGAUCCCUCUCAGAGGGAGCAAGUUCUUCGCCUCCCACCUGAGUGUCGCAGGCGCCCAGCGCCGCGCAGAGGUUCGGACCCCGCCCGCCUAGGGCUCGGCCUCCGCGAGGGUGAAAUGCCCGAGCCUCGGGCUCGCAGCCCUGGCGGGGACAAUUCGCUCUCGACUGAGGGGCUCAGUUGCACUCGGACCAGUUCGCAGAGCCACCCCCACCCCCCCCCCCCCACCCCCCGCGGGGCACGCGGGGGGCUGCCCUGCCGGGGGGUGGCUGAGCCCGGCACCGCGCACGGCAGGAGCCCCCAGAGAAGCGCCGGCCCCCGUGGGAUGUCACCUCGUGCCCCGUGGGGUGAAGGGAGGGCCCGGGAAAGGAGAAAGAUUUAAAAUAGCCGACGGAAAGGAGAGGGGGAAGGGAACGGGUGACACAUCGUUCACCUCAACCCGGGUUCUGAUUUCAAGUGAAGACAAGACCCACGCUGCUGCGCCCGCACAGACCUCUGCGCCAGACAUUUCCAGCUCCAAAUGUCAAAGAAAAGAGCAGAAAAGAAAAGAGAAUACAAAGCGCAGCAAAGGCAGGGACUACCACCUAUUUAAGUAAUCAUCGGCCGCGGCCCUCCUCCCCCUCCCGUGACCCCUCCGCGUAUUUCAGCGGGGGUUGCGAAGGAGUUCACGGCCGCCGCAGCCAGGCGGGUUCCCAGCGCCUCCCGCGGGCGGAGCGGCGGUGCUGGGGCUUCCCCGGCUGCCGCAAGAAGCCGAGCUCCGGAGACCCUGGCUUGUAAAACGGGCUCCAAUGAGGCGCGCUCUAUCGGCCCCGCGGGCUCCCCGCACCAGAGGCCCCGUGCAGCCCCGCCAGGAUUCCCACGGUCACGCCGCCGAGCGCCGGGCGGCUGCAGGGGCCGCAGCUGGAGGACCCCGCGGCCGGCCGGCUCCGCACCGCGCAGCCUCCCCACCGCCACCCCAGGGAUGCUCUCCGAGUGUCCCACAGAGGGAGAAGCUGCUUACAACUUCUUCAGUAACAGAGAUACCUGGAGCGAGCCCCGAAGCAACGUGGGAGAGGAGUGCUUCCAAACUGAAUCCCAUAACCGGGAGGUGCAACCCAGCUCAGGGAGAAGUGUGCGGGCCCCUUCUCCAAACAGAAAGGAGCCUUUUUAGAAAGGGGGGGGGGGAGAUAGGGAGGAAGUAAAAAAUGAAUCAAUAAAAUAAGGAAUAUUAAAGAUCGGAGAGGAAGUUAAAGAGGAAAAGGGGUUUUCUCUUCCUGGUGACCCGAGCCCCCAGGAUCUCGCUGGAGACACACGCCGGGUGCACAGACGCGUGCCUAAUUGCCAGCAACUGCUUCAAAAACCCAAGCUCGUGUCUUCGCUCCACUCUUAGGCAGACCCAAAACUGGUCAGAAAAAAAAAAGGGGGGGGGUAAAGUGGGACACGAGCUUCGAAGGAGGGAAAUGAAAGAAGGCAGCGAGCGUCCACAUCCUUCCUCUCCAGCUUCUCCCUUGCGUUCUUCGGGCGAAUCGGAGAGGCGGGCGCCGCGCUGGGGAAAGUUUGUCCCACCCGCAUUUCGCAUCUGGCUGCGGGGAGAGGAGGAGGAGCGGGAAGGUAGCGCUCCGAGCCUGCGGCCGCAAAGAUACCCGGCGCCGCGCUUACCUCGCAGUCCUCGUACUUGAUAUUAUCCGUCAGUUUCCAAAGCAUUUUCAUGGAUCGGCGUGAACGGAUUUGCCCCCUUCUCCGCCUCGCACCCAAGUGGAGCUACUCUCUGGCUCUUUACCAACAGCCUAAUCGCCUCAUUAGCAUAUCAACAAUAGUCCAAUUGCUCGCCAGCACCGCAAUCUGCGGCCGGCCGCUCCGACCCAGGUAUAAAGGCCUCUCCAAGCCGCGAACUUGCUCCUAGAGCGCACGCCUGCCUGUGAGCGGACGGAAUCUCCCCGGAGACCAGCCGCGCGCCCCUGCCCCAGUCACCCCCCAGCCCCCGCCGCUGCCCCAUUCCACCCCACUCCCCUUCCUCUCCGUCUCCUCCUCCAGGGAGAUGCCCUCCGCAACAACAACAACAAAAAACCUGCACUGUGCAGGGUCCGAGCGGCUGCGCCUGGGGCCCAGCUUUCAGCACCUCUCCCUCACCCCUACCACCGCUAACCGCGCGGUCCUUUCGGCCCCGUCCAAUUUUAUUAGAAAUUAUUAUCCCUUUCGCAAUUAAAUAUAAUCACCAAACCAAGACCGGCAAAGUCACUCCAGGAUUUUUGCCCAACAAGAGAUCGCCUCCGCUCGCGGCAGCCUCCACCUCGGGCCCCAGCGCCUUGGGAAUUUUAUUGGCUUUGCGCUCCCCCCCACCCCCACCCCCAAGUUGAAGAUUUUGCCAAACGGCUCCAGUGGCUCGGCUGGGGUUUGCGAUCCUUUAAUUGCCGCGUGUAAAAUAAAAAUUGUACCCUGAAGAGGUUAGUUGACAGCUCCAGGGGUUAAAUGAUUUUCCUCUCGUUUGUAUGAAGCUAGAGCUGACUGAUAAUUCAACGUGGUGUUUGGGCUAAGGGUUUCCUAGGUGCGAUGUGGACAAAAUACAGAACUCCUAUGGAGUCUCACAGUCGCUUCUGGAGUUGAGCCGAUAUACCGACAUGUGUGCGCCGUGUCAUUCAUGCAUCAAAAUAAAUCGCUGGGAACCAAC